rnacentral:rRNA from 1 species
AUUGAACGCUGGCGGCAGGCUCAACACAUGCAAGUCGAGCGGGGUGAUGGUGCUUGCACUAUCACUUAGCGGCGGACGGGUGAGUAAUGCUUAGGAAUCUGCCUAUUAGUGGGGGACAACAUCUCGAAAGGGAUGCUAAUACCGCAUACGUCCUACGGGAGAAAGCAGGGGAUCACUUGUGACCUUGCGCUAAUAGAUGAGCCUAAGUCGGAUUAGCUAGUUGGUGGGGUACAUGCCUACCAAGGCAACGAGCUGUAGCGGGUCUGCGAGGAUUCUCCGCCGCACUGGGCAUGAGACACGGCCCCGACUCCUACGGGAGGCAUCAGUGGAGAAUAUUGGACAAUGGGGGAACCCUGAUCCAGCCAUGCCGCGUGUGUGAAGAAGGCCUUAUGGUUGUAAAGCACUUUAAGCGAGGAGGAGGCUCUUUUGGUUAAUACCCAAGAUGAGUGGACGUUACUCGCAGAAUAAGCACCGGCUAACUCUGUGCCAGCCGCCGCAGUAA